UUUGUACCAGCUGAAUCCUGGGGCCUUGGGGGUGAACCUGGUGGUGGAGGAAAUGGAAACCAAAGUCAAGCAUGUGAUAAAGCAGGUGGAAUGCAUGGAUGACCAUUACGCCAGUCAGGCCCUGGAGGAGGUAACUCUCAGGGUAGUUUUCCCUCUGGAAGAGCUCAAUGGAGCAUACACAGACUGUGUUCUGUACCUUCUUGUUGAGUGCCUGGGUGAAGAGAAGGCUGGAGGGAGGGAUAGAGCAUCAGCACCAGUUUUGCCUCAGCUGUGAAGCCAGCAGCCCCAGGUCAUGAAGGGAGUCCAUGCCCCAAACACUCACUGCUAAAUGCAGGUGCCGACAACUUAGAACAUAUGUUCCCAGAGAACAUAAAGUUUAAAUAUUGGGCUGGGCACGGUGGCUCACAUUUGUAAUCCCACCACUUUGGGAGGCCGAGGCGGGUGGAUCACUUGAGGUCAGGAGUUCAAGACCAGCCUAGCCAACAUGGGGAAACCCUGUCUCAACCAAAAAUACAAAAAAAUUAGCUGGGCAUGGUGGUGGGCGCCUGUAAUCCCAGCUACUUCGAGAGGUUGAGGCGGGAGAAUCACUUGAACCUGGGAGGUGGAGAUUGCAAUGAGCCGAGAUUGCACCAUUGCAUUCCACCCUGGGUGACAGAGCAAAACUUUGUCUCAAAAAUAAAUAAAUAUUGGCCGGGUCCCUAGGUUAAUCUACCAAUAACUUUUUAAAAUAUUUUUUAUUCAAUAUAAAAUUAUUAAUUACAGCAGAAAAUUUUAAAAAUACAGAA
rnacentral:sRNA from 1 species